rnacentral:rRNA from 1 species
AUACGGAGGAUGCGAGCGUUAUCCGGAUUUAUUGGGUUUAAAGGGAGCGUAGGCAGGAGCUUAAGUCAGCGGUUAAAUGGUGCGGCUCAACCGUGCCCUGCCGUUGAAACUGGGUUUCUUGAGAGUGCAAGAGGCGGAUGGAAUUCAUGGUGUAGCGGUGAAAUGCUUAGAUAUCAUGAAGAACUCCGAUUGCGAAGGCAGUCCGCUGGGGCACGUCUGACGCUGAUGCUCGAAGGUGCGGGAAUCAAACAGGAUUAGGUACCCUGGUAGUCCGCACGGUAAACGAUGAUUACCCGCUGUCGGCGGUAGACAGUCGGCGGCCAAGCGAAAGCGAUAAGUAAUCCACCUGGGGAGUACGCCGGCAACGGUGAAACUCAAAGGAAUUGACGGGG